AUGGAGGGGGAUAACUACUGGAAACGGUGGCUAAUACCGCAUAACGUCGCAAGACCAAAGAGGGGGACCUUCGGGCCUCUUGCCAUCAGAUGUGCCCAGAUGGGAUUAGCUUGUUGGUGAGGUAACGGCUCACCAAGGCGACGAUCCCUAGCUGGUCUGAGAGGAUGACCAGCCACACUGGAACUGAGACACGGUCCAGACUCCUACGGGAGGCAGCAGUGGGGAAUAUUGCACAAUGGGCGCAAGCCUGAUGCAGCCAUGCCGCGUGUAUGAAGAAGGCCUUCGGGUUGUAAAGUACUUUCAGCGGGGAGGAAGGUGUUGUGGUUAAUAACCGCAGCAAUUGACGUUACCCGCAGAAGAAGCACCGGCUAACUCCGUGCCAGCAGCCGCGGUAAUACGGAGGGUGCAAGCGUUAAUCGGAAUUACUGGGCGUAAAGCGCACGCAGGCGGUCUGUCAAGUCGGAUGUGAAAUCCCCGGGCUCAACCUGGGAACUGCAUUCGAAACUGGCAGGCUUGAGUCUUGUAGAGGGGGGUAGAAUUCCAGGUGUAGCGGUGAAAUGCGUAGAGAUCUGGAGGAAUACCGGUGGCGAAGGCGGCCCCCUGGACAAAGACUGACGCUCAGGUGCGAAAGCGUGGGGAGCAAACAGGAUUAGAUACCCUGGUAGUCCACGCCGUAAACGAUGUCUACUUGGAGGUUGUGCCCUUGAGGCGUGGCUUCCGGAGCUAACGCGUUAAGUAGACCGCCUGGGGAGUACGGCCGCAAGGUUAAAACUCAAAUGAAUUGACGGGGGCCCGCACAAGCGGUGGAGCAUGUGGUUUAAUUCGAUGCAACGCGAAGAACCUUACCUGGUCUUGACAUCCACAGAACUUUCCAGAGAUGGAUUGGUGCCUUCGGGAACUGUGAGACAGGUGCUGCAUGGCUGUCGUCAGCUCGUGUUGUGAAAUGUUGGGUUAAGUCCCGCAAC
rnacentral:rRNA from 1 species